rnacentral:rRNA from 1 species
CGCGGCCUAUCAGCUUGUUGGUGGGGUAAUGGCCUACCAAGGCUUUGACGGGUAGCCGGCCUGAGAGGGCGACCGGCCACACUGGGACUGAGAUACGGCCCAGACUCCUACGGGAGGCAGCAGUGGGGAAUAUUGCACAAUGGACGGAAGUCUGAUGCAGCAACGCCGUGUGCGGGAUGACGGCCUCCGGGUUGUAAACCGCUUUCACCAGGGGCGAAUUUUGACGGUACCUGGAGAAGAAGCACCGGCUAACUACGUGCCAGCAGCCGCGGUGAUACGUAGGGUGCGAGCGUUGUCCGGAUUUAUUGGGCGUAAAGAGCUCGUAGGUGGUUUGUUGCGUCGGGAGUGAAAACACGCAGCUUAACUGUGUGCUUGCUUUCGAUACGGGCAGACUUGAGGGAGGUAGGGGAGAACGGAAUUCCUGGUGGAGCGGUGGAAUGCGCAGAUAUCAGGAGGAACACCGGUGGCGAAGGCGGUUCUCUGGACCUUUCCUGACGCUGAGGAGCGAAAGCGUGGGGAGCAAACAGGCUUAGAUACCCUGGUAGUCCACGCCGUAAACGGUGGGCACUAGGUGUGGGGGACAUUCCACGUUCUCCGUGCCGUAGCUAACGCAUUAAGUGCCCCGCCUGGGGAGUACGGA